rnacentral:pre_miRNA from 1 species
AAGAGGUGAUCAUAUCCUUUCAGUAUAGAGGACGUGUUCAUUUGUGUUCACUACUCGAUGUUCAAGACUAUGCUACUUGAACAUCGAGUAGUGAACGCAAAUGAACAUGUUCCUUCAUACAGAAAGGGCUAGCACUGACAUG